GAAAUGCGAUACUUGGUGUGAAUUGCAGAAUUCAGUGAAUCAUCGAAUCUUUGAACGCAUAUUGCGCUCUUUGGUAUUCCGAAGAGCAUGCUUGUUUGAGUAUCAGUAAACACCUCAAAGCUUUUGAUUUUUUUUUAAAAAAAAAAAGUUUUGGACUUGAGCAAUCCCAACACCAAUCUUUUUUAGAUCGGUGGCGGGUUGCUUGAAAUGCAGGUGCAGCUGGACAUUCUCCUGAGCUAAAAGCAUAUUUAUUUAGUCCCGUCAAACGGAUUAUUACUUUUGCUGCAGCUAAUAUAAAGGGAGUUUGACCGUAUUGGCUGACUGAUGCAGGAUUUCACAAGGGUCGGCAACGAUUCUUGUAAAACUCGAUCUCAAAUCAAGUAAGACUACCCGCUGAACU
rnacentral:misc_RNA from 1 species